CGGGUGGGACAAAAAAAGGCGACACUCUGUGUUAGUUAUAGCUGUGUUCAUUGUUUGACCAAGCUGAAAACUCCAGCUCAACAUAGUGAUGACAUUUAAUUUUACAAGUCUCUGAACACAUCUUCAAAAAUUUGCCUUCUGUUUUCAUGUUCUAAUCAGCUUUAUGGAAGCUCCUGUAAGCAGACAUGAUCGCUAGGUGGUGAUGUUCUACCAGAGAAAAGCUUAAA